CCUACGGGUGGCUGCAGUGGGGAAUAUUGGACAAUGGGCGAAAGCCUGAUCCAGCCAUGCCGCGUGUGUGAAGAAGGCCUUCGGGUUGUAAAGCACUUUCAGUGGGGAAGAAAGCCUUGGGGCUAAUACCCUCGAGGAAGGACAUCACCCACAGAAGAAGCACCGGCUAACUCCAUGCCAGCAGCCGCGGUAAUACGGAGGGUGCGAGCGUUAAUCGGAAUUACUGGGCGUAAAGCGCGCGUAGGCGGUCUGAUAAGCCGGUUGUGAAAGCCCCGGGCUCAACCUGGGAACGGCAUCCGGAACUGUCAGGCUAGAGUGCAGGAGAGGAAGGUAGAAUUCCCGGUGUAGCGGUGAAAUGCGUAGAGAUCGGGAGGAAUACCAGUGGCGAAGGCGGCCUUCUGGACUGACACUGACGCUGAGGUGCGAAAGCGUGGGUAGCAAACAGGAUUAGAUACCCCAGUAGUC
rnacentral:rRNA from 1 species